ensembl:lncRNA
GGCUUCCAGUUUGGAACUAUUAGGGAUAAAGCUGCUGUGAAUAUUUGUUCACUGAUUAUUGUGUGAACAAAAUUUUCUCUUUAUCUGGGAUAAAUGCCCAAGAGUACAAUUUCUAAGCUGUAUGGUCUCCUCUAGGACGUGUGAUGGAAAAGUCCAGUGCUGGUCAGCCUAGGGGACUGUCAAGUGAAGAGUGGAUUUGGAACCAACUGGCCUGAUCCACUAGACACCUGGCAGCAGAGGGAUAGACUGGCUUGGCCUGUUGAAAAUAAACCACAUGAACGCAGAAUUUGUGCUGCCUGGGUGCCGUUUUCCCAAAUAUGACAAUAUGGAUCUGAAGUUACCUCAGGAGUUACUGAAGCAUCUUAUUGGAAACCACAAGUCCUUAGUCCUGCUGUAAAGCAAGAGGCAGCCCUGGACUCGGCUUUUCCUUACUGAGAGUGACAUUCUGCACUGGUCAACUUAGACACCUCAUGUGGCGGCUGACAUGGCUUCACACCUGCACCUGUGAAGAGUUUCCAGGGUGUGAACCCUCUGCUGGCCAGAGGGUGACUGUUACCUGGCAGUGACAGAAAG